AGUGUGGAAACGCCCGCUGAGGGGCACACAGUGAGGUGGCCACUGGCUCUGUGUCCUUGGGGAAGCCCCUUCUGCGGUCCCCUCCACUGUCUGCGUGACCAAGUGGACGUAGAACUCCCCCAUCUGCUGCUGUCCAGGGCGGGUGAGGACCCUACACACACACGGUGUGUUUGUGAGCUGUGCAGAGUGGGGUCUCCCUGGCAAUGGCCACAGCCUCCAGGGGCGCUGACACCUCCCGUCUAACUAGUAGACAGUUUCUGCCUCUUCCUGUUUGGGGAUUGGAGAGGAAGUGCGUCUGGAUGACUACUAAGAUGAGGAGGCUGAGGCCUAGUGCUCCUAGAGGGCUUGGUCAAGAGCAGGAGGUGGAGGUGGUGGAAGGCUGUUCCCCUGCGGUGACAGGAACUCCAUUCGCACCAGCUUACAUUAAAAAAAGAGGAGGGAGAAUAUGGUCGAGUGACCGCAGGAGCGAUGGGGAGCGCAGACAGAGUUUCUCCCUGCUCUGGAUAGCAGAUCCGCUGGCUCCUAGCUUAUGAUCCAUGAAGAGAACGCCUUCCCCUUGGGCUUCAAUUUGAAGAAUCCUGAAGAGGACCCUGAUGGCCUCUCGUGGUCCGCGUGCCCCUUCUUGCACAACCGUGAUGGUCCUAUCCACGGACGCCUUCUCUUGGGUUCUGUGGUUGGAUGCGGAGGAAUCACUGAUCCUCUGUAGUGGAAGGGAAGGGAGGACACACCAAGACCAUGUGGCCCCAAGAGCUGUGAGAAGAGCAGAAGCCUGACUGGUGCCUCUUACAUGUCACUGCAGCCUCAGGGGGGCCACCAGGGAAAACACCUGACAUCCUGUUCUCUAGUAAUGGCAUGGCUGGAAUCAUUCCUGUACCAAAUAAUUCACCAAUUUAAAGUGUGCAAUCCAACAAUGAUUGGUAUACUCAGAGUUCUGCAACUCUCACCAAAAUCAAUUUUGGAACAUUUCUAUCAUCCCUAGCAACAAAUACUAUACCUUUUUUUUUUUUUUUUGUGACAGAGUCUCACUUUGUCACCCAGGCUGGAGUGCAAUGGCAUGAUCUCCGCUCACUGCAACCUCCGCCUCCCGGGUUCAAGCAAUUCUCCUGCCUCAGCCUCCCAAGUAGCUAGCUGGGACUACGGGCGCACGCCACCAUGCCUGGCUAAUUUUUGUAUUUUUGGUAGAGACAGGGUUUCAUCAUGUUGGCCAGGAUGGUUUUGAUCUCCUGACUUCGUGAUCCGUGCGCCUCAGCCUCCCAAAGUGCUGGGACUACAGGCGUGAGCCACCGUGCCCGGCCAGCAAAUACUGUAACUUACUAGCACUUUCCAUUUCCCUCCAACCCCCUAAUGGUUUCUUUUCCCACAAUAAUCUAAAUGUUUAAGGAACUGGUUUGCUAACUCAUUUCUUAAUGACAAGAAUUAAGCCAGCACAACCUCUGGUUUCUGACAUUCUUUCCCUACAAAGUCAUUCAUCAUUUAUCCUUUUUUAAGGGACCUCCUUCGUCUCUGUAGCUCCGGCUCACUUCCAGACUGUGGGGAUCAGCUCCUCUCACGAAAGGUGAGUAGGGAGUACCUGCCGUUAAACCUCUGUCACCACAGGAGAGAGAUGCCAUGGAUGGAUGAUUUUCUCUCUGAUUCUUGGCAUUAGUUCAUUGGGCAAAAAUUCAGCUUCCAGAUAAGCGCUGGCCCAUGGACUAGGCUUGGUCCUGUUUCCCCUGGAAGUACUGCUGGGAAACCUAGCCCAGCCCCGCAGGGCUUCCUCCUGCUGCCGCCCACACCACGAUCAGCCUCCUCUUCCCGCUGCAGCCCCAUCACUGCAGCCCUGUCACUGCACUUGUUUCAUCGGUCUGAAGUCCAGCUGCUCCUCCUUGGCCUCUGCACCUCAGCACAGGCUGCUGCCUCUGAGGGGCCGCCCAGCCGUCGUCCUCCUCACAACCUCCCAUGAUCGUGGCCCUGAGGUCACCUUCCCAAUGGCGAUGAACAAUCCCAUUGUCACUCCCCGUGGGUGUGCCCACCGGAAGCUGCUCAUGGGCAGGAGGGGAACUGUUCAAGCUGGUUUUUCCAGCCCCUACCACAGCGCUGGGUGUGUAGGUGGACAAGAAAGUCAUUACGUAUGUAAAUGAGGAAGCGCAUGAACACCUGAGCGUGUGAGACUUCAGUGGGGUGAAUGCCACUCCAAAUGUGUGUCCAAUGUGAUGGGACUGAAUGCAAAUGAAAGUGGGUCAAGGAGAUAUUCAGAAUAAAAUGAGCAACUUUUCCUC
rnacentral:lncRNA from 1 species